rnacentral:pre_miRNA from 1 species
AUAAUACUCCCUCCGUCCAGAAUUACUUGUCAUCAAAAUGGAUGUGUCUAGAACUAAAAUACAUAUAGAUACAUCCAUUUCAAUGACAAGUAUUUUCGGACGGAGGGAGUAGUAG